AGUGAACGCUGGCGGUAGGCCUAACACAUGCAAGUCGAACGGCAGCACAGUAAGAGCUUGCUCUUACGGUUGGCGAGUGGCGGACGGGUGAGGAAUACAUCGGAAUCUACUUUUUCGUGGGGGAUAACGUAGGGAAACUUACGCUAAUACCGCAUACGACCUACGGGUGAAAGCAGGGGAUCUUCGGACCUUGCGCGAUCGAAUGAGCCGAUGUCGGAUUAGCUAGUUGGCGGGGUAAAGGCCCACCAAGGCGACGAUCCGUAGCUGGUCUGAGAGGAUGAUCAGCCACACUGGAACUGAGACACGGUCCAGACUCCUACGGGAGGCAGCAGUGGGGAAUAUUGGACAAUGGGCGCAAGCCUGAUCCAGCCAUACCGCGUGAGUGAAGAAGGCCUUCGGGUUGUAAAGCCCUUUUGUUGGGAAAGAAAAGCAGCAGGUUAAUACCCCGCUGUUCUGACGGUACCCAAAGAAUAAGCACCGGCUAACUUCGUG
rnacentral:rRNA from 1 species